rnacentral:tRNA from 1 species
GCCUCUGUGGUGAAAUUGGUAGACACGCUACAUUUAGGCUGUAGUCUUUUAACAGGUGAGAGUUCGAGUCUCUCCGGAGGCA